UCACUCAUUCUUUUCACUUCGCGCUACUCUCGCUUUCUUGUUCCCUUGACAACCAAGCUUCAAACAGUACAGUUUCCCGCCAUUUUUUACGAGGCGAAGGUUUCGUUCAAUCUACUCCAUCGUGCCGGAGUCAUUUCUGUCGGUUGAUGGCGACGGAGAUGACUCCGGAUUCGGUGGUCUCGGCUUCAUUACGUUCAGUGACCGCUCUCUUUCGAGGUGAAAUCUUAAGCAGCACCAGGAGCAAGGCAAUGUGUCGUCUGAUUGCCUUAUCUCGCGUUCUCGAUCAAACCUGGUUGGAUCGCUACUGGUUUGCGUUUAGAAGGAGAGCGUUCUUCGUUUUUUGCUGGCUUUUCGUUGCUCAUGUUGUUCAUUGUUUCGUUGUUUCUGGAGAGUCAGAUGACUUCGGUGUUCUUGCCGCAGAGGAUUCCUCGGAGGUUCAUAGAAGGUAAUGAUCUCGAUCGAUUGCGCUUUGAGGAUCUUUUUGGUUAUCAGAAAUCGAAGCUUGCUCUGUGAAGUUGCAUUAAAAAUGAAAUCCUUUUUUUAGAAUAUAUAGUCAUGAAUUUUGACCUUUGAGGCAUGGAAGAACUGUAGGUGAAAAACUUCGAAUGACAUGAUAGAUACAGUUAAUGGAAAUGAACUGUGGAUUCCGGUGUGCGCCUAUCCCACUGUUCCUACUGUGAUCAUCUGCCAAUAAUAUCAUCAAUUUGGAAUUGAGAUUCAAAAUCCUGUUCUUAAUUACUGGCAAUGAAGAACAUGAAGAAGCUUGGAUGUGUUUGAGGGUACGGAUGUGUCGUUGAAGCAUCUGAGACUCAUCGAAUUUGAGGAACUUGGAUCACCUUUCAUUCAUCGUUGUCGAGGGGAUCCAUGGGUUACUUUUUACUAAAUUCAGUUUGGAUGCUUUGAUAAGAGCUCUCUCGAUUCUUAGUUCUGAUGGAAGGCUCACUAGAAUUGCAAACAAUAAUGCUUCAUCCGGAAGAUUGCUAACUAAAAAUGUGCUUGCUACAGAGUGCAUUGCUGGAUAUAUACAAAUCUCUUGGAGGAAGUUCUCAAGAGAUUUGCAUAUCCAAGUAAGAGCUUGAAAGGGCAGGGCAGCCAGUCCGCAUUUACGAGAUAUACAGCGGAUCUGGUGCUUGGACAUUUUUGCAUCAUGGUGCUCUUUUUCGUGGACUUAGUCUUGAUGUUUGUUGAUUUCAUUAGAUGCCGUAGACAGGAAGCUUGACAAUGUCAUAUGAAUGUGCUUGCUUGCUUCCUCAGGGCUGGAGUGGGCGGAGAAUGAUUUGCUUAACUCAAAGAGCAACAUCCGUUUGAAGAACGUCAGGAGUUCAUGUGGUCGGAAUCCUUCCAACAUUACAAUGCUGAAGGCCAUGGAUACAAAUUUGGCUGAAACUCGUUAACAGGAGAUAUUGGAGAUGCAUAUUCUAGAUAGAGUCGUUGCUUUCUAACCCAGCGGCGGAUGCUUGGUACAAUUCAACGAGUACAGAAGACCGUCAAAUUCAAGUACGUGACUUUCUUUCAAGCUUUUUUCCACUGAUUCUUUCAGUUUCUAAAAUCCAAUUUAGACACUUAACCAACUUGAAAAAUGAUGGAUAAGACUAGAUUUUCUACUUCCAGCCUUUUGAGAAUUUAAGCGGACUAUGAACUUGCUAAAAAAAA